rnacentral:rRNA from 1 species
AUUUCUUUUUGUUUAUUUUUUUAAGUUUAUCCUGCUCAAUGAUUUUUAAAUAGCUGCGGUAUUUUGACCGUACAAAGGUAGCAUAAUCAUUAGUUUUUUAAUUGAAAGCUAGAAUGAAUGGUUUAACGAGAAAUAGUCUGUCUUUGUUUAAUAAUUUGAAUUUAAUUUUUAGGUCAUAAAGCCUAAAUGAUCUUAUAAGACGAGAAGACCCUAUAGAUCUUUAUAUAAUAAAUUUGAUAAAUAAUUUUGGUUUUUAUUUUUUUAAAAGUUUUUUGUAUUUUAUUGGGGUGAUGGAGAAAUUUGAUUAACUUUCUUUUUUAUAUUUAAUGAUUAUUAUUUUUAUGAUCUUUUUUUUUGAUUUUUAGAUUAAGUUACCUUAGGGAUAACAGCGUAAUCUUUUUGGAGAGUUCUUAUCGAUAGAAGGGAUUGCGACCUCGAUGUUGGAUUAAGAAUUUAUUUUGGCGGAGAAGUUGAAGUUUAGGGUCUGUUCGACCUUUAAAUUCUUACAUGAUCUGAGU